rnacentral:rRNA from 1 species
GCAAGGAAUUUUGUGCAAUGGGCGAAAGCCUGACACAGCGACGCCGCGUGGGGGAUGAAGGCUCUCGGGUUGUAAACCCCUUUUCUCAGGGAUGAAUAAUGACAGUACCUGAGGAAUAAGUCACGGCUAACUACGUGCCAGCAGCCGCGGUAAUACGUAGGUGGCGAGCGUUAUCCGGAUUUACUGGGCGUAAAGUGAGCGCAGACGGUUUUUCAAGUCAGAUGUAAAAUCUCUCGGCUUAACCGGGUGGUUGCAUUUGAUACUGUUAGACUUGAGGACAACAAGAGGAGGUAGAAUUCCCGGUGUAGUGGUGGAAUGCGUAGAUAUCGGGAGGAAUACCAGUGGCGAAGGCGGCCUCCUGGGUUGUUUCUAACGUUCAUGCUCGAAGGUGUGGGGAGCAAACAGGAUUAGAUACCCUUGUAGUCC